rnacentral:rRNA from 1 species
CGCGUAGGCGGUUUACACAGUCAGAUGUGAAAUUCCAGGGCUUAACCUUGGGGCUGCAUUUGAUACGUGUAGACUAGAGUGUGAGAGAGGGUUGUGGAAUUCCCAGUGUAGAGGUGAAAUUCGUAGAUAUUGGGAAGAACACCGGUGGCGAAGGCAGCCCCCUGGGAUAAUACUGACGCUCAGGCACGAAAGCGUGGGGAGCAAACAGGAUUAGAUACCCGCGUA